CACAGCAACAAUCACAAAAUUCGAUUUCAAAUCGAAAAAGACACUCUGCAGUAUUUACAAAAUUUUCAAAUCUAUUUGAGAUAAUACAAAAACCAGAUAAAAUGCAAAGAAAAUAUGCAAGUCAACCAAUAAU